rnacentral:rRNA from 1 species
UACAGAGGGUGCGAGCGUUGUUCGGAAUUAUUGGGCGUAAAGGGCGCGUAGGCGGUGAGAUGCGUCUGUUGUGAAAUCCCACGGCUCAACCGUGGAACCGCUGGGUAUACUGGUUGUCUUGAGCCGGCUAGGGGCGAGCGGAACAGACGGUGGAGCGGUGAAAUGCGUAGAUAUCGUCUGGAACGCCGAAGGUGAAAACAGCUCGCUGGGGCCGCGCUGACGCUGAGACACGAAAGCCAGGGGAGCGAACGGG